GCCAGCCGCCGGCCGGCCACCAUCUUGGGAGGCUGAGGCGUAAGGGCGCCGGUCCCGGCGUGCCCCGCGCCGCUCGUCUCCCGGCCUGCUCCGCGCGGGCGCGCGCGCCCCGUGAGGCCUGUGGGGAGGGCCUGACACCGGCGCCGGGCCCCAGCAACGCCGGGACCCCCCGGUACCCGGUCGUUCCCCUUCCCCGCCCCCCUCCCCCGCCCCUCCUUCUGGCACCAGGCGUUGUAGCUCCUUGUAAGCGUCUCUUCCCAGACGCCCGCGCUCCGGCUGCUGUGUGGCAACCUGCCGCCCAUGUCACACGCGCACGCCACCGCACAGGCGCUGCCGUUCUUUUCUUCGUCAGCGUUUUAAUUAGUGACAAAGCUGUGUUGGCGAUGUCUGUAAAUGGCAAAAAACACCCGCAAAUACCAGGGAAGAGGCUAAUGCCACCGGAAGAGAAAGAAAAGGCAGAGCAAAUAUAUACGUAUAUCCGUAUGGCGUAGCCUGAAGGAUGCUUCGUGGACUGUCGACAUAGCUAGCGCUCGCGUGACACAAAACGCACGGUAUCUGCGUCAGCGCUGUGCGAAGCGAUGGAGAGAACAGUGAGAUGGGGCCCUGUGAUGCAGGGCAGCACAGCUUUCCGCUCUGGAUAGCCGUGAAGGAGCUGAUGCUGGCUUUGUUCUAACCAAACUGGUGCAACUGCCAAGAAAAGUCUUAAAGUGGAGUUACGCUGCUCCUUUCUGUUGCGUUUGGUGUCGCCACACAGAUACACUGCUGCUGUGACAUGUUCUGGCUUGUGUGGAAUGUGCUCCUGAGACAGCACUAUUUAUAGUGAGUAACCUCGUCCCGCAGACCUAGAGUUACCAGAUUUGAAAGAAGCAUGCAUGUCAUUUGUCACCUUUACCUCUGUACAAGUGGAGAUCCAGGAGCCUGGUGUGUCCCCGUGCAUCUUGCUAGUGCACAUUCACGGACUUGUCAGGUGCAACAGUAAGCUGAGCUGACUUGACAGAGUUGCUGCCUCUCCAGAAGGACGAUGAACUUUGCAGCUGAAGUUAUUAACAAGCUAACAGAGGAGAUUUAUAACAUACAGGCUAAGCUGGAAGUCUUCAAAGCCUGUUAGCAAACAGCAACAAGUAUUCCACUGACACCUAAGAUGGGGAAAAUAAAACACCAGCAGUGCUAGAUGGCACGCAUGGAGAUGACAAUCGUACUUGUUCAGCAGCCCUUUACCAGUUGAAGAUUAAAAAUAAUGUGGGUCCUUGCUGAUGGGAUGCAUCACCAGUCAGAAAAAUGGAAAGCACUCUCAGAUCAGAAAGAGCUGAGCCAGCUGAAUGCGUUGGAAGGAGCUCUGUGCCAGUGAGCUGUUACCUAAUAACUUGGUAGUUCAAGCUCUGAUACAGAGUCAGAGAGCACAAGGGAGCCUCUUGUAGUCUGACAUUUAGACAUCUGAAACGGAAAGUCAGCUAAAAUCACUGUAUUUUUUUAAUAUUGGUAGUCCAGUGUUUAUGUGAGCUGUGAGACAUAAAGGGGAGCAAAGUGAAGUUACAUGUGGCUGUAAAGCCAGAAUGGAGAAGUGGGACCAAAUAAGCAAGUGGGAGCCUCUCUAAUGUAAAUUAUGAGCAGUGAGGGUUCCAUAGUCCAGUAGUGAUGAGACACUUAAUAGGAGCAGAUACCAGUACCGCAUGGAAGAUGAUGGAAACGCAGACAAGUCAGCAGGUACACUAAGAGCCAAAUGCACCACAAUGCCUUUUUGUCCCCACUUUUCAAAAGAGCACUGGAGUGACCCGAGAGGCAACUGGCGUGGUGACUGCAAAGGGGAGUGAUGCUGCUCUGCAGGAGGAGGCUUCUGAAGGACAGGGAAAUUCUUUCAGUGGCUGGUGAUGUUUGUGGUUUGGUGUGUGGGUUUCUGACUCACCUAUAAAUUCUUACAAACUUUGGCAGUAAUUUUAUUAGUAGAGGCUCACCAGGUAAAGGAGAGUAAACACUGCUCAAAGGUAGUCAAAGAUGGUGCUCAUGCUGGUAAGGGCUCCCUAAAAAGCAGUAAGAGUUUCCUGAAACCUUCUCCAACAUGGAUGCAGGAAAAUCAGUUGUCCAGCUGAAAAAAGGUUAAAAAUAAUGUGAAGACAGCAACUUGAUUAGUUUAACAUUCAUUCCUGUCUUAAUGAAUAUCUGAAAUAUUUUCUUCCACCUUUAGACUGUAGAGCGAUACUCUUCCUAUAAUUACAGGGCUAUUACGAAAAUUGGAAAGAAAAAAAAAAGGCUACAAAAGAUAAGUAGGUUAAUUCCAGGAAAGUUCAGAGACAUGGAAGCACAUAGCUGUUGUACUUCUAAAAAGGUACCAGCACUUUGUCUAAAUGUCUGCUUCUGACAGACAGCUUCCCUGAACUGAAUUUUGGAAGCAAAUUAAAACAUGAACAUUUUGUCUCAGCUAUUGUGUUGCUCAGGGCACUAACACUCUGAAACAACAUGUAGGAGGGGAAUAAAAGAGAGACAAAGUGACAGAUCACUAGAGAAUUUGCCUGACCACCUUCCUUCCUUUCCUUUCUUUUCUAAUAUUUUUAUCUUGGACCACAAAGUGUAAACUUCUAAUAACUUAUUAAUGCAAAUAUAUGUGUCUAUUAAUAUAUUAUUAGGCAUAGACUCUGUGUGUGUGUGUAAAUAAUACAGUAUAGAUAUGUACCUUCAUGCUUAUAAUAUUGCUAAAAGCUUGAGCUGAGCUUACCAUGCAGAUUCAGAAAAUUGAACAGAAUUAUUUCAUAUGAAGAGAAUUCUUCAGGAUUAACCACAUCUGCUACUUCAAUAUAAUAUCACUUUGCCAUUUUUCAGUGCAUAUUUUCAGCUCAUAACAUCUUUUUGCUGCUAAACGAAUCCUAUGAACACUUCCUCGCUGCUGCAGUUAUUAGAGGUGAGCUAUUUAUCUUGUGGUUUCACUGUAAACGUUAACUCCUCUAAGACAGCACUUGCAGCUAAAAGAAGUGAUCCCCCCUUCUGCAGUUCCCAACCUCUUCUUUCUGUCCCCAUGCUGUUCCCUCCUUUUGUGUGAUGAAUGGAUGGGAGAACAAUCAAAGAUAAACAUAACCAAGAGUGAAAAAUGACCCUACUUUUUACGUGCAUAAGUUUCAUGAUGUGUUUCAUCAUGUGGCUACAUGAAAACUGUGGCUGAGACAAAUAAAAGGGCUGUAUCAGCGUAGAAAUGAGCGGAUGGAGAAACAUGUGGUUGCUUCUCUCAGCACCAGUGCCAAGCUAUAUUGAUUUAAAUGGUGAUGUUAGAACUACACCAUACUUCCCUCCAGUACUUGGAUAAACCAAAAUGUUUCUAUUAACUUCAGUUAAACUAUGGCUGUUGAAGAAUUCAGAAGAUCCACCCCCUGGGACACCUUACCUCUUCUUAGCCUGAUCCAGUUCUUUAAGCUUAUGGCAAGUCCCCCAUUAAAGUCAACUGGAGCAGGCCCUUUAAGGUGCAAAUGAAUCUUUGGUUUAAAUUAAUGAAGUCACACCAGGAGUGAAUAUAGCCCUAUUCCAAUCAGUGAUCUAAUUUUUGUACAAUGAUUACAAUUAACAAAGUACAUUAUUUUCAGAUCAUUCUUAAUGGAUGUAAGAGCUUGACAUUAGCUAUUUACUGUAUCCUAAGACCAGCUUAAAAACUUUGUAGAAUCUCGUCAUAGUACAUUUGAAAUUGAGUAGAAAAUUUUGGUACUUGUAAUACUUUUUUCUUUAAGAUCUUGAAGUAAUAAAAUUCAUUUUCAUAGCAUAACUUAGGAUGUUUCACUGUGUGGUGCUGACAGUACUCUAGAAUUCUUUACUGAUGUAUUUUUGUGCACUUCAUUCUUCAUUUUGCAUUGCCUUGCUCCUUGUAGAGUAAUUUACAUAUAUGCAAAAUGAAUGUAAAAAAAUCAUAUCAAAAUUGUGGCUUUUCUCACUAAGGUUUUGCAAGUGCUAAUAAUAAAACAGGGUGCAAGGCAAGUGGAGAAUCUAGCCCUCAGGCAUGAAUCUGAUUUCACAUUAUUCUUUUCCCAUUCUUUGUUUUGAUGUUCUUCUUAAUUUUUAUCAGUAUUUUUACAAAUUAAAAAAUACACAACAAACUACACCAUUCAGAAAUUGUUGUGAAACUCAUCAGCUAAUACAAAUUUUAAUCUGGAGUGUUGAGAAUGAUGGUGAGAAGCAAGACAGGAUGGAGUGGGGGUAGGGAACUUGGAAUAAUUUAAAGAAAUUGGAGGAGAAGGCGAGAAGCUCAUUUUAUUCUCAUCUAGUAAUUAGGGCAGGAGUCUGUCUUCAUCCGUUGUAGCAGACAGAGGAAAGUAAAGAGAGGAGGGGGUCAUGAGUUGGGUGUUUCUUUGUGAGCAUACAACUUGUGAUGAGAAAGAUGAAUAGAGCAAAAGAGAGAAGUUACUGUCAGUAUCUACAAUAAAAAAAUGUCUUAGCAGGUUGGCAAUCAGCUUGUCAGAGAUUCUGUAGCCCUCGUAUUAGCCAGGUGGCCAGUUCCCCACUUAGCCUGCCAAGUGAGUUGAUCAUCAGCUCGGAGCCAGACAGAGUGCCAGGUGGCCAGAUCCAUCACUCAGCAUCCAAUUAACAAUGACACUGGUUCAGAGCCAAAUGAAAGGCAGCUAUGAGACAGGGAGAGGGAGCAUCGCUGUACCACCAGUCCAGUCCCUAUGUCAGGUCCAGCUGCCUUUAAUUUCUCUGGAAAGCUUGAUUUUUUUGAAUCUUUGCUUUGAGUUGUUUUGGUUGGUUUGUUGGUUGGGUUGUUUUUUUUUUUCCCCCAAGCAAUAAAGCUGUCUAAAUCUUUUGGAUGUCUCCAGUAUUAUUCUUUUACAGCACUUCCUCAGUGCCUAAGAGCAGAACUGUGUGACACUGUAAGUGGUGGGUCUGUCCAUGCUAGACAGAAACUACCCAGGUCAUUUAACUUCUGAACUGCGUUUGAGUGUUAACCCAAUUUAGGGAAUGUUAGCCCAUGUCUGGUACUGGGUAUCAUGGCACAGGUGGAUCUCACCUGAUUAUAUCUGAAUUACUUGGCAAGAAAUGAUCCUCCACUCAGUCCUCAUCAAGAAUUUUAGAUAUAAGGGCAGUUAGUUUUUCAUACUGUUUCAACAUUUAAUAGAGGCAGUUAUCCUUUAAAGGCUUUUCCACUUCAGUGGAUUUUGUAAGAUGCUUUUUAUUACAUACACAUUACUUAGGGGGUCUACUUUUCCCAUUCUGUAAAUCUGUCCCAAAUUUUCCAUAGGUUUAAAUGGGAGUGUGAAAUUCAAUGUUUGUUGUGAUUAUGUGGGUAUAAUCAUGCAUUUCCUAAGAAAGCUUUGGAAGACAAUCAGGAUUUGGGACGUGGGAUGACCCAGUGAAGUUGAUAGUUCAAAUGAUCCUAUGUUUGUUGGGAUAGCUGUUGUCCACAUUGGGACUGUCUGGUGGUCCCCACAUGAAGUGCAUGUGGUCUUUUCUUGAGCCUUACUGGUCUGCCAUAGGAGUGAAGCCAAAAAUUAAAAAUGGUUGAAGCCUUUUCCACUCCCUAGAAAUCAGGUUGAGACGUGUAAGUAGAGAAAAUUUGUCAGUUUUAUACACAUAUUGUGAAUAAAUAGAGGUCUUCAAUUUGUAGUAUCUUGCAUUAAGUACUAGAGUACUAAAAAAAAUCGGAGAAAGG